rnacentral:rRNA from 1 species
GACGAACGCUGGCGGCGUGCUUAACACAUGCAAGUCGAACGGGCUCUGUCUGGCUGUGUGCUGGGUGGGGUUAGUGGCGAACGGGUGAGUAAUACGUGAGUAACCUGCCCUCUUCUUUGGGAUAAGCCUUGGAAACGGGGUCUAAUACUGGAUAUUCCUGUCUGGUCGCAUGGCUGGGUGGGGAAAGUUUUUUUCGGUGGGGGAUGGGCUCGCGGCCUAUCAGCUUGUUGGUGGGGUGAUGGCCUACCAAGGCGUCGACGGGUAGCCGGCCUGAGAGGGUGACCGGCCACACUGGACCUGAGAUACGGCCCAGACUCCUACGGGAGGCAGCAGUGGGGGAUAUUGCACAAUGGGCGCAAGCCUGAUGCAGCGACGCCGCGUGGGGGAUGACGGCUUUCGGGUUGUAAACCUCUUUCGUCGGGGGACAAGGCUCUGCUUGGUGGUGGGGUUGAGGGUACCCGGUGAAGAAGCGCCGGCUAACUACGUG